AUGCACGACCUGGUGCAUGAUCUAGCAAGAUGGGUGAUGGGCGAGGAAUUUCUUCUCGCUGGUAAUGAUGGCAACAAUGGGGAAAACCGCUGUCACUAUGCACUGCUCAAUGAUGGCAGCAACCUAUUGGAGUCACGGAGGAUAAGGGCACUCCGUUUUAUGGGCUCGGCAGAAAUUCAUUUUGAUGAUGUUGCAUUUGCCUGUGCUAAAUCCCUGCGUGUCUUGGACUUGAGUGAGUGUCCCAUUCGUAAAUUGACAAAUUCAAUUGGCCGAUUCAAGCAGUUGGUGUAUCUUAAUGCUCCAAGAGUACACAAUGCAGUUAUUCCGGAUGGUAUCACUAGGCUGUCAAAAUUACUUUAUCUCAGUCUUCGAGAAUCUUCUGUAUCUGCACUGCCAAAGUCAAUCGGAGAAAUCGAGGGUCUGAUGUAUAUUGAUUUGUCAGGCUGUAAGAGAAUCGAAGAACUCCCAGAAUCAUUUGGGAAGCUAAAAAAAUUGGUGCAUCUUGAUUUGUCAGAAUGCUCUGCUUUGGAAAAUAUAUCCAAGUUUAUGUGGAGCCUCACGGACCUGAAAUAUCUUGAUUUGUCAGGCUGUCGGGGAAUUAAAGAACUGCCAGAAUCAUUUGGCAAGCUAAAAACGUUGGUGCAUCUUGAUUUGUCAGAAUGCUCUGCUUCAAAAAAUAUAUUGAAGUUUAUUUGGAGCCUCACGGACCUGCAAUAUCUUGGUUUGUCAGGCUGUGGGGGAAUUAAAGAACUGCCAGAAUCAUUUGGGAAGCUAAAAAAAUUGGUGCAUCUUGAUUUGUCAAAAUGCUCUGCUUUGGAAAAUAUAUUGAAGUUCAUGUGGAGUUUCACGGACCUGCAAUAUUUGAACUUAUCAAGUUGUUAUUCUAUUGGAUCGCUACCAGAAUCUCUUGAUGGUCUUCCUAGUCUACAAUACUUAAAUCUGCAUGGGUGCCUUCGAGAAGGUGAAAAUGACAGUUUGAUGGACAGUAUCAGUACCCUUUCCAAUCUGGAGCAUUUGGACUUGUCUUUUAAUAAAGGUAUUACUGCUCUACCUGAAAGUUUUUGUAACCUGAGAAAGCUGCACACACUGGACCUCUCGUACUGCGAAAACAUUCAGAAGAUACCAGAAAGUAUGGGUAGAAUUCAUAGUUUGAAGACCCUACAUUUGCAGGCCUGCUAUCGUCUUCGUGAGGAACCUGUACCUCAUCCUAGUACCAGUUUUGUAUCAUUACCACGUUUUCAUGUGCGCGUUAGAGAUGGUGAAUCGAGCAGCAAUCUUAUCUGCUUAAAGGACACGAAUCCUCCGGAGUUGGAUAUAUUCUGGCUUGAAAAUGUGAGGUCCGCAGAAGAGGCUCAGGGUAUAAAGUUGAUGGAUAAAAGCAAUCUCAAGGAAUUAUGGUUGUCGUGGAGUAAAGGUGCUGAGAGGUUUGUGGAUGAUAAAGUGUUGUUGGAGAAACUAGUGCCACCAAAAAGUUUACACGAGUUGGUGAUACUGGGUUAUAAUAGUGUCAGCUUGCCAACAUGGGUCGGCCAACAGAAUAGGGUGACACUAACCCGUAUGGAACAUCUGGAAGAGUUGAGUCUGUCAGACUCCAGUCGCAUGUCCUCUAGCUGGAGCAUAAAUUAUUGCCCCAAGUUGAGGAUGGGGCCACUUCUUCCUAGAGUAGUUGACAGCUUAGCGAUAAGAAGGAGUGAUAAUGUGCUGUCAUCAUGGGGAGAGUGUACAAUGUCAAGCACCGGUGCUUCCUCCUCCUCUUCUUCCUCUUCUUCUUCUUCUUCAGUAAGAGUAUUAACUCCUAUAACUACUCUGAUAGUUGAAUACAGUGAGCUGCCCAUGCAGCAGUGGAGACUGCUUCGCCACCUCUCUGUCCUCGAUCAUUUAGAGAUCACGACUUGUCCUGAUCUGACCAUCUCCCCUGACAUCAUCCCACAUAUUUCCUCUGUUAAGCGUCUAGUGAUAAACAGAUGCAACAUCUCAUCAUUGCCGCAUUGGUUCAUGGACUUAACCGGUCUCGAGCACCUUCGUAUCGAUGGUUGUGAAGACAUCAGGUCUUUUCCGGAGGGCAUACAACAACUCACCAAGCUCCAAACACUUGAGAUUUACGGAUGCCCUGAUUUGAAGAAGUGGAAUGAAUUGGAGGAAAAUAAGAUGAAGCUGGCUCACAUAAAAGUUAAGCUGCGGUAUUUGCCUAUUUCGUCUGUAGUAACAAGCAUGCAGUUGUUCUGCUGA
rnacentral:rRNA from 1 species